AUUGAACGCUGGCGGCGUGCUUAACACAUGCAAGUCGAACGCGAACGGGGCUUCGGCCCCAAGUAGAGUGGCGCACGGGUGAGUAACGCGUGGACAAUCUGCCCUUAUGACUGGAAUAACAGUUGGAAACGGCUGCUAAUACCGGAUACGCUCAGGAAGAACUUUUUGAGGAAAGGCGGCCUCUGCUUGCAAGCUGUCGCAUAAGGAUGAGUCCGCGUCCCAUUAGCUAGUUGGCGGGGUAACGGCCCACCAAGGCAACGAUGGGUAGCCGAUUUGAGAGGAUGAUCGGCCACACUGGGACUGAAACACGGCCCAGACUCCUACGGGAGGCAGCAGUGGGGAAUAUUGCGCAAUGGGCGAAAGCCUGACGCAGCGACGCCGCGUGAGGGAUGAAGGUUUUUCCGGAUCGUAAACCUCUGUCAGAAGGGAAGAAACUGCCGUGCUCUAAUCAUCAUGGCAUUGACGGUACCUUCAAAGGAAGCACCGGCUAACUCCGUGCCAGCCGCAGC
rnacentral:rRNA from 1 species